rnacentral:rRNA from 1 species
AUACGUAGGUGACAAGCGUUAUCCGGAUUUACUGGGUGUAAAGGGCGUGUAGGCGGUUUAGCAAGUCAGAAGUGAAAUUCCCGGGCUUAACUUGGGCGCUGCUUCUGAAACUGCUUUACUUGAGUGCUGGAGAGGAUAGGGGAAUUCCUAGUGUAGCGGUAAAAUGCGCAGAUAUUAGGAGGAACACCGGUGGCGAAGGCGGCUAUCUGGACAGUAACUGACGCUGAGGCGCGAAAGCACGGGGAGCAAACAGGAUUAGAUACCCUGGUAGUCCGUGCCGUAAACGAUGAAUACUAGGUGUAGGGGGUAUCGACUCCCUCUGUGCCGCAGUUAACACGUUAAGUAUUCCACCUGGGGAGUACGGCCGCAAGGUUGAAACUCAAAGGAAUUGACGGGG